rnacentral:rRNA from 1 species
AGUGAACGCUGGCGGUAGGCCUAACACAUGCAAGUCGAACGGCAGCACAGUAAGAGCUUGCUCUUACGGGUGGCGAGUGGCGGACGGGUGAGGAAUACAUCGGAAUCUACUUUUUCGUGGGGGAUAACGUAGGGAAACUUACGCUAAUACCGCAUACGACCUACGGGUGAAAGCAGGGGAUCUUCGGACCUUGCGCGAUUGAAUGAGCCGAUGUCGGAUUAGCUAGUUGGCGGGGUAAAGGCCCACCAAGGCGACGAUCCGUAGCAGGUCUGAGAGGAUGAUCAGCCACACUGGAACUGAGACACGGUCCAGACUCCUACGGGAGGCAGCAGUGGGGAAUAUUGGACAAUGGGCGCAAGCCUGAUCCAACCAUACCGCGUGGGUGAAGAAGGCCUUCGGGUUGUAAAGCCCUUUUGUUGGGAAAGAAAAGCAGCAGGUUAAUACCCCGCUGUUCUGACGGUACCCAAAGAAUAAGCACCGGCUAACUUCGUG